UUGCUACCCACUCAUUCUUUCAAGAGCAUGGCUUUCUAUAUAUUCAUACCCCAAUUAUCACAACUAGUGACUGUGAAGGUGCUGGUGAAAUGUUUCAAGUUACAACCUUGAUUAAUGAAGUUGAAAAGAUAGAGAAGGAGCUGAGUGAGAAUCCUCCUCCAUCAGAGGCUGACAUAGAAGCUGCAAAGCUUGUUGUUAAGGAGAAAGGGGGGGCUGUCGCCCAACUGAAAUCUGCUAAAGCAAGUAAGGAGGAUAUAGCUGCUUCAGUGGCUGAACUGACAAAUGCAAAGGAGAAUCUCUUAAAGCUGGAGGAAAGAUCUAAACUUAAGCCUGGCAUUCCUAAAAAAGAUGGGAAGAUCGAUUAUUCUCUAGAUUUCUUUUCCCGUCAAGCAUUUUUGACCGUCUCUGGCCAAUUACAAGUUGAAACAUAUGCCUGUACCGUUAGCAAUGUCUACACAUUUGGACCAACUUUUCGGGCUGAGAACUCACACACAUCCAGGCAUUUGGCAGAAUUCUGGAUGGUGGAGCCUGAAAUAGCAUUUGCAGAUCUUGAGGAUGACAUGAACUGUGCGGAGGCAUAUGUGAAAUAUAUGUGUCAGUGGUUACUUGAUAAGUGUCUUGAUGAUAUGGAACUGAUGGCUAAACUUUAUGAUAAAGGUUGCAUUGAUCGACUAAGAAUGGUUGCAUCUACCCCUUUCAAGCGCAUUUCAUACACAGAAGCAGUGAAACUACUAGAGGAGGCUGUGCAAGGUGGUAAGAAGUUUGAAAACAAGGUGGAGUGGGGGAUAGAUCUGGCAUCUGAGCAUGAGAGAUACUUGACAGAGGUAUUAUUUCAGAAGCCUGUGAUUGUGUACAAUUACCCAAAAGGGAUCAAGGCGUUUUACAUGAGGCUCAAUGAUGAUUCAAAGACUGUAGCUGCCAUGGAUGUCCUUGUUCCAAAGGUGGGUGAGUUGAUCGGUGGAAGCCAGAGAGAGGAACGCUUGGAGGUUAUUCAGCAAAGAAUUGUUGGUAUGGGGCUGCCUCUUGAACCAUAUGAGUGGUACCUUGAUCUGCGGCGCUAUGGAACUGUAAAGCAUAGUGGAUUUGGCUUAGGCUUUGAACGGAUGAUACUAUUUGCCACUGGCAUUGACAAUAUUAGAGAUGUCAUUCCCUUCCCCA
rnacentral:misc_RNA from 1 species